CAUAGGUUAAUGAGGCGAACCGGGGGAACUGAAACAUCUAAGUACCCCGAGGAAAAGAAAUCAACCGAGAUUCCCCCAGUAGCGGCGAGCGAACGGGGAGCAGCCCAGAGCCUGAAUCAGUGUGUGUGUUAGUGGAAGCGUCUGGAAAGGCGCGCGAUACAGGGUGACAGCCCCGUACACAAAAAUGCACAUACUGUGAGCUCGAUGAGUAGGGCGGGACACGUGGUAUCCUGUCUGAAUAUGGGGGGACCAUCCUCCAAGGCUAAAUACUCCUGACUGACCGAUAGUGAACCAGUACCGUGAGGGAAAGGCGAAAAGAACCCCGGCGAGGGGAGUGAAAAAGAACCUGAAACCGUGUACGUACAAGCAGUGGGAGCACGCUUAGGCGUGUGACUGCGUACCUUUUGUAUAAUGGGUCAGCGACUUAUAUUCUGUAGCAAGGUUAACCGAAUAGGGGAGCCGAAGGGAAACCGAGUCUUAACUGGGCGUUAAGUUGCAGGGUAUAGACCCGAAACCCGGUGAUCUAGCCAUGGGCAGGUUGAAGGUUGGGUAACACUAACUGGAGGACCGAACCGACUAAUGUUGAAAAAUUAGCGGAUGACUUGUGGCUGGGGGUGAAAGGCCAAUCAAACCGGGAGAUAGCUGGUUCUCCCCGAAAGCUAUUUAGGUAGCGCCUCGUGAAUUCAUCUCCGGGGGUAGAGCACUGUUUCGGCAAGGGGGUCAUCCCGACUUACCAACCCGAUGCAAACUGCGAAUACCGGAGAAUGUUAUCACGGGAGACACACGGCGGGUGCUAACGUCCGUCGUGAAGAGGGAAACAACCCAGACCGCCAGCUAAGGUCCCAAAGUCAUGGUUAAGUGGGAAACGAUGUGGGAAGGCCCAGACAGCCAGGAUGUUGGCUUAGAAGCAGCCAUCAUUUAAAGAAAGCGUAAUAGCUCACUGGUCGAGUCGGCCUGCGCGGAAGAUGUAACGGGGCUAAACCAUGCACCGAAGCUGCGGCAGCGACGCUGAUGCGUUGUUGGGUAGGGGAGCGUUCUGUAAGCCUGUGAAGGUGUGCUGUGAGGCAUGCUGGAGGUAUCAGAAGUGCGAAUGCUGACAUAAGUAACGAUAAAGCGGGUGAAAAGCCCGCUCGCCGGAAGACCAAGGGUUCCUGUCCAACGUUAAUCGGGGCAGGGUGAGUCGACCCCUAAGGCGAGGCCGAAAGGCGUAGUCGAUGGGAAACAGGUUAAUAUUCCUGUACUUGGUGUUACUGCGAAGGGGGGACGGAGAAGGCUAUGUUGGCCGGGCGACGGUUGUCCCGGUUUAAGCGUGUAGGCUGGUUUUCCAGGCAAAUCCGGAAAACUAAGGCUGAGGCGUGAUGACGAGGCACUACGGUGCUGAAGCAACAAAUGCCCUGCUUCCAGGAAAAGCCUCUAAGCAUCAGGUAACAUCAAAUCGUACCCCAAACCGACACAGGUGGUCAGGUAGAGAAUACCAAGGCGCUUGAGAGAACUCGGGUGAAGGAACUAGGCAAAAUGGUGCCGUAACUUCGGGAGAAGGCACGCUGAUAUGUAGGUGAAGUCCCUCGCGG
rnacentral:rRNA from 1 species